AUUGAACGCUGGCGGCAGGCCUAACACAUGCAAGUCGAACGAGUGGCGGACGGGUGCGUAAUGUCUGGGAACCUGCCCGAUGGAGGGGGAUCACUACUGGAAACGGUAGCUAAUACCGCAUACCAUCGGAUGUGCCCAGAUGGGUUUGGCUUGUAGGUGGGGUAACGGCUCACCUAGGCGACGAUCCCUAGCUGGUCUGCGGGGAUGACCAGCCACACUGGAACUGAGACACGGUCCAGACGCCUACGGGAGGCAGCAGUGGGGAAUAUUGCACAAUGGGCGCAAGCCUGAUGCAGCCAUGCCGCGUGUAUGAAGAAGGCCUGCGGGUUGUAAAGUACUUUCAGCGGGGAGGCGUUACCCGCAGAAGAAGCACCGGCUAACUCCGUGCCAGCAGCCGCGGUAAUAC
rnacentral:rRNA from 1 species